rfam:Gossypium raimondii Chr11_contig_1303, whole genome shotgun sequence.
UGUUAAAAAUUUCAUCUAUUUCUACUGUUAAAACUGGCAUAUAUGAUAGAAUAACCAGACAGUGACACAUGGCGUGGCACGCAUAGCUCAUGCUGUUAUACAAUGAUCAAUUUUUAACAGUAAAAAUGGAUAAAAAUUUUAACA